CCGCCAUCUAGGGUUUUAAACUAAACCCUGCAACUGUUAAUGCUUGGACCAAUUUCUCAGUCUUGCGCUUCGAUGGAGAAUCCAAAGAAGAAGAAGAAAACCAGUCAAAAUCCUGAGACAAAGUUCCAAUUUGAGCUCAACUCAUGUUCCAAGGCUAAGGACCUGCAAGGCGCCAUAUCCCUCUAUGACGACGCCGUUUUGAACAAUACGCGCCUCAACCAACACCACUUCAAUGCCCUCCUCUACCUCUGCUCCAACUCCGUCGCCGACGACUUGCUCAAAACCACCGCACUCGAUUACGGUUUCCGCGCCUUCCGCCACAUGUCCUCUCUCGGCGUCGUUCCCAAUGAGGCCUCCGUCACUGCCGUUGCGCGCCUCGCUGCGGCCAAGGGUGACGCCGAUUAUGCCUUCGAGUUGGUGAAGGGCAUGGGCAAGUACAACAACGCUACCCCGAGGCUGCGAACCUACGAUCCUGCGUUGUUCUGUUUCUGUGAAAUGCUAGACGCGGAUAAGGCCUACGAGGUGGAGGAGCACAUGAAUGGCGUUGGGGUGAGUUUGGAGGAGGCGGAACUCGCCGCGCUUUUGAAGGUGAGUGCGCGGAGUGGUAGAGCGGACAAGGUGCAUGAGUAUUUGCAUAAGCUUAGAAGCUGUGUGAGGUGUGUUAGUGAGUCCACUGCGGUGGUUGUUGAGGAGUGGUUUUGUGGUGCCAAGGCCUCUGAGGUUGGUGAGGUGGAAUUUGAUGUGGGGCAGGUCAAAGAGGGGGUUUUGCGGAAUGGGGGAGGGUGGCAUGGUCAGGGAUGGAUUGGUAAAGGGGAUUGGGCCGUCAACAGAACGAGUGUUGGUGCCGAUGGACAUUGUUGUUGUUGUGGGGAGCAAUUGGUUUGUGUUGAUAUUGAUGAUUCGGAGACGGAGAAGUUUGCAGGGUCUGUUGCUGGCUUGGCCUUGGAACGAGAGGUCAAGGCCAAUUUUAGUGAAUUUCAGGCCUGGCUUGAAAAGCAUGACUCUUAUGAAGCUAUAGUGGAUGGAGCAAAUGUUGGGCUCUACAAACAAAAUUUUGCUGAUGGUGGAUUUAGCAUUUCUCAGCUUGAUUGUGUUGUAAAAGAACUUUACAAUCAGAGUGGGAAUAAAUGGCCGCUCGUUGUGCUGCACAAUAAGCGCCUAAGAGGGCUAAUGGAAAAUCCUUCCAGCAGGAAACUGGUGGAGGAGUGGAUGAAUAAUGGUGCACUGUAUACAACUCCUAAUGGGUCCAAUGAUGAUUGGUAUUGGCUCUUUGCUGCAGUAAAACUUAGGUGUUUGCUUGUGACAAAUGAUGAAAUGCGAGAUCACAUAUUUGAACUCAUAGGAAGUAACUUUUUUAACCAGUGGAAAGAAAGACAUCAGGUUCACUACACUUUUAUGAAAGGAAACCUAAAGCUUCAGAUGCCUCCAUCAUAUUCAUUGGUUAUCCAGGGUAUGGCUUAACUACAUAUGCUUCGGAUACCCUUUCCAUCUACCAAGGAAUAUAAAGAUGCCUGAGCAGGAGCAGUAAACAAACCUACGGCGCAAAGAUACCUUGGAUGCUCUUUCUAUCUACCCAAUUGGCCAAUGUGUGUGGGAUGUGACACCCUUCCAAACCCAUAGGAAUUUCAAGAUGCCUGAGCACGAUUUUUCUACCCUUUUUUUAUUAUCAAUUGCUUGUUUUUACCUCUUAAUUAGUUUCAUAUUACAAAAAUAGCGUAGAAACCGGUGAAGUUGUGGGGGAAAUUGAAGUUGGAUAUCUGAUGAUUGUUAUUAGUGAAACAUUGUAUAAGAGCAUUGAGAUUAUUCACGUGGCAUCUAAGCUGAGCUUGCAAACAUAAAAAUCCUAACUACUUCAGCAUCCAAAAUGAAUCGGAAAAAGGUUAUUGGCAUGUGCCGCUAGCACCGGGCACUAGCAGUGAGUCUUCGAUAUGUUGGCUCUGCAUUACCCGGCCAAGUGGUCAUGAUGCUG